rnacentral:snRNA from 1 species
AGCUUUGCGCAGUGGCAGCAUCAUAGCCAAUGAGGUUUAUCCGAGGCGUGAUUAUUGCUAAUUGAU